rnacentral:lncRNA from 1 species
CAAGUCGAACCCAAGUCGCUGUUCCUUUCAUGCCCACACCUGUCCACCGCCAGCUUUUCCUGGACACACUCGGGCCCUGCAGAUUCCCACACUUGUUUUCAUAAACCCACUCCUUCCUCUUCGCCCACUUCCAACUCGCACGCUGCUCCGGAUCCACCCGGUCUCUCCCCGCUCCGAACCCAAGGACUGGGCGGCCGGACAGCUCGGUCUCUAACCCAAGCCGGAACCGAGGCAUAUUUGUACAAGGUACUUUGGAGAGAACUCAGACCCACUGCACGGCUGGCCAGGGGUUGGCGUUUGCAGAGUCUGGGCAUCACGGAUGUGCCUGAACAUCAGUUCUCCAGGCAGAGGAAGCUGGUGUGUUGGUCACCAUGGACAGCCCUGGGGCCAGCCUCAUGGUCUGGGCAGCCUGUGGCCUCCUGGUCAUGCUGGACACUGUGUGCUAUGCUGGUUAUGCUGGGCACCCUGGUUUCUGAGUCCGGGAAUGUGGAGGUGUCCUACAUUUAUAUCUUACAUACCCAUGCCUCCUUGCCUGCCUGUCUUGUUUGUCACCUUGUACACAAUCUUGUACACACUGGUCUUGAUAACUUGCUGUCUCUGAGCCUUGCUGAGUCCGCAUGGCCCCUUUACCCUGGCUGUUCCUCAGGGCCCCAGGCCAUAGGCAGGCUGCAACACUCCAUGCUAGACUGCCUCUCCUCCCAUGACGCCGUUCUCACAUUGCUUGGGCUCUAA